rnacentral:rRNA from 1 species
AUUGAACGCUGGCGGCAGGCUUAACACAUGCAAGUCGAGCGGAGAGAGGUAGCUAGCUACUGAUCUUAGCGGCGGCCGGGUGAGUAAUGCUUAGGAAUCUGCCUAUUAGUGGGGGACAACAUUUCGAAGGGAAUGCUAAUACCGCCUACGUCCUACGGGAGAAAGCAGGGGAUCUUCGGACCUUGCGCUAAUAGAUGAGCCUACGUGGGAUUAGCUAGUUGGUGGGGUAAAGGCCUACCAAGGCGACGAACUGUAGCGGGUCUGAGAGGAUGAUCCGCCACGCUGGGACUGAGACACGGCCCAGACUCCUACGGGAGGCAGCAGUGGGGAAUAUGGGACAAUGGGCGCAAGCCUGAUCCAGCCAUGCCGCGUGUGUGAAGAAGGCCUUAUGGUUGUAAAGCACUUUAAGCGAGGAGGAGGCUACUUUAGAUAAUACCUAGGGAUAGUGGACGUUACUCGCAGAAUAAGCACCGGCUAACUCUGUGCCAGCCGCCGCAGUAAUAC